rnacentral:rRNA from 1 species
UACAUGAGUGGCGAGCGUUAUCCGUAAUUAUUGGGCGUAAAGGAUGCGUAGGUUGUAAAAGUAGUUAUAUUUAACUAUAACGGAUAAUCGGGUCAAAUAUAAAACCUUUUUACUAGAGUUUUAAUUAAGUUUAAUAAUACUUGUAAGUUAGUGAUAAAAUACUAUGAGCUUAUAGGUAUUACCAUCUAUGAAAAUGAUUAACUGAUUAAAACUGACGCUGAGGCAUUAAAGCGUGAGUAUCGAAUAGG